UACAGAGGUCUCAAGCGUUGUUCGGAUUCAUUGGGCGUAAAGGGUGUGUAGGUGGCGCGCUAAGUCGGGUGUGAAAUUUCGGAGCUUAACUCCGAAACUGCAUUCGAUACUGGCGUGCUUGAGGACUGGAGAGGAGACUGGAAUUCAUGGUGUAGCAGUGAAAUGCGUAGAGAUCAUGAGGAAGACCAGUGGCGAAGGCGGCAUCCUGGACCAAUUCUGACGCUGAUGAGCGAAAGCCAGGGGAGCAAACGGG
rnacentral:rRNA from 1 species